GACGAACGCUGGCGGCGUGCCUAACACAUGCAAGUCGAACGGAGAUGCCGAGGUAGUUUACUACAUUGGUAUCUUAGUGGCGGACGGGUGAGUAACACGUGGGCAACCUGCCCCAAAGAGGGGGAUAACACCGAGAAAUCGGUGCUAAUACCGCAUAACAUUAGAGCUUCGCAUGGAGCUUUAAUCAAAGGAGCAAUCCGCUUUGGGAUGGGCCCGCGUCUGAUUAGCUAGUUGGUGAGGUAACGGCUCACCAAGGCGACGAUCAGUAGCCGAUCUGAGAGGAUGACCGGCCACACUGGAACUGAGACACGGUCCAGACUCCUACGGGAGGCAGCAGUGGGGAAUAUUGCACAAUGGGGGAAACCCUGAUGCAGCAACGCCGCGUGGAGGAAGAAGGUCUUCGGAUUGUAAACUCCUGUCUUCUGGGACGAAUAAUGACGGUACCAGAGGAGGAAGCCACGGCUAACUACGUG
rnacentral:rRNA from 1 species